AUGAAAGGUUGUCUACAGAUGCACCCUUGGUGGGUUACCAAGGAAGAACCCCCAACUGUGUCUGCAAUGAAAAGAAAAGAAAGGAGAGAAGGAAAGAAAAAAAAAGGAAUGAAGGAGAGGAAGAAAAAGGAAGAAAAAGAGGGAGAGAGAACGGGAAUGUUGCUUUAUUCUAAAAGGAAAUGGAUGAAUCUGGAAAACAUCAUCCUCAGCAAACUGACACAAGAACAGAAAAUGAAACACCGCAUAUUCUCACUCAUAGGUGGGUGAUGAAAAAUGAGAACACAUGGACACAGAGGGGAGUACAAAACAGUGGGGUCUAUUGGGGGGGAAAG
rnacentral:lncRNA from 13 species